AUCUUUUUUUUUUUUUUUUGGUUUAUUGAAAAGUAAUUGUUGGAUAGGUACCCGUAGUACCUAUAUACCAAGACUAGUUUUGCUUACAUAUUAGUGAACACUUAAGUAACUAAAUAAUUGAACGGGUUCCAUGGUGAAUGUGAAAUGUGACAUCAUUUUUGUUUACAAUUCAAUUUUGGCUGAAGUAAUGAAAUUACAGAGUUCCUUGAUGACGGUGUUUGUUCGGUGUUUCAAUAAAGCAGGUAAGUUGGUAAAAUCGUUGAAAAUAUUGAAGUUACAUCUUAGGUGGUGAAAUUUAUUGCACUCAAAGAUCAAAUGAUUUUCCGUUUCAGGUACAUUACAAACAUCACACAAAUUAGUGUCUGUCAGCUUCAUUUUAAACAGGUACGUUUUGCAGUAUGAGUGACCCGCUAGGUGUCUAUUGAUAAUUUUAAUUUCUCCGGGUUCUAAAGACAGUUCGGCAUGUCAGUGUUUUUUUUGGUGGAGAUGGAAAAAACUAGAGAAGUAUGUGCCUUUUGAUAAUGUCAAUAGUCUAUAUUUUCUAACCCAUUCAUCCCAUAGGGCUUCAUAUAUUUCCGCACGAGCAUCCUUAACGGCUAAAUUGGACGAAAUGACACAGCCAGCAUCCACGGCUUGUCGGACAAAAUAAUCUGCGCGUUCAUUCGAUUGGAUUCCAAUAUGGGAAGGAACCCACAGAAAAGACCUGGUAAGGGGGAUUUUCUGAAUUUGUCUAAUAUGUCUAAACCUUCCGUGCAGUUCAGCGAGAUCUGAUACUUUGGAAAAGGAUGAAUGUUCAUAAACAGGGAUUGAAGGUGUAACAUUGAUGGGACUGGCUACUGGAUGAUUGAUAAUGGUGCGAGGAGCUGCUAUUUUACUGUACAUUAUUUUUGUGAUUCUUCUGUUUAUUUCUUCAUUAAAGUUUCUUAUAUUUUGA
rnacentral:sRNA from 1 species